GUGCCCAAUGCGGGAUUCGAACCCGGGUCGUAAUGAUUGGAAACCAACAGUUUAAACCACUCGGCUACCGACCA